GCAUUAUACAGCCUAUGAUCUUGACAACUGGAAUGGCGUAGACCGUUACCAUUUCAAUGCCAAGGUGAGCAAGCAAGAUUUAGAGGACACUUAUAACGUGCCAUUCAAAGCUUGUGUGGUGGAGGGAAGAGUGGCGAGUGUAAUGUGUUCUUACAAUCAGGUCAACGGGAAGCCAACUUGUGCUGACUCUGAUUUGCUCAAGAACACCAUCCGGGGUUCUUGGGGGCUAGAUGGGUAUAUUGUAUCUGAUUGCGAUUCUGUUGGAGUUUUGUAUGAUAGCCAACAUUUCACUCACACACCGGAAGAAGCAGCUGCUUCCACAAUCAAAGCUGGUUUGGACUUGGAUUGUGGACCAUUCUUGGCAGUGCACACAGCAACAGCAGUGGGAAAAGGACUCCUAAAAGAAGCUGAUCUCAACAAUGCCUUAGCCAAUUUACUCUCGGUUCAAAUGAGGCUCGGAAUGUUCGACGGAGAGACUGCGGCCCAACCCUACGGCAACUUGGGCCCAAAGGACGUUUGCACUCCGGCCCACAAACAGCUAGCCCUCGAAGCCGCAAGACAAGGCAUAGUCCUUCUCCAAAACCGAGCCGCAGCUCUACCACUCUCCCCCACGCGCCAUCGCACAGUGGCGGUAAUCGGCCCGAACUCGGAUGCCACCGUCACAAUGAUUGGAAACUACGCGGGAGUGGCGUGCGGAUACAUUUCGCCGCUUCAAGGGAUCUCAAAGUACGUUAAGACCAUUCAUGAGAAAGGCUGUGCCGACGUCGGGUGUGCUGGGAAUCAGCUGAUUGCGGCGGCGGAAGCGGCAGCGCGUGUGGCGGACGCGGUGGUGGUAGUGGUGGGGUUGGACCAGUCGAUUGAAGCGGAGUUUAGAGAUAGAAAUGGGGUGCUUUUGCCUGGGCAUCAGGAGGAAUUGGUAAGGAGAGUUGGAAGGGCUUGUAAAGGGCCGACGGUGGUGGUUUUAUUGUCGGGCGGGCCAAUUGAUGUUUCGUUUGCGAAAAAUGAUGCUAAAAUUAGUGCGAUUCUUUGGGCUGGGUAUCCUGGUCAAGCUGGUGGUGCAGCCAUUGCUGAUGUUUUGUUUGGAGCUAUUAAUCCUGGAGGAAAAUUGCCAAUGACUUGGUACCCACAGAGCUACCUAGCAAAGGCCCCAAUGACAAACAUGGGCCUAAGACCCGACCCAUCAACCGGCUACCCGGGUCGAACCUACCGUUUCUACAAGGGCCCAGUCGUCUUCCCAUUCGGGUUCGGUUUAAGCUAUUCAAAAUUCUCCCACUCCAUAGCCGAAGCCCCAACAAAAAUCUCACUUCCUCUCUCGAAUCUCUCUCCCAAUACCUCCGCCGCUCUCACCGCAAUCAAAGUCUCUCACACCGAUUGCGCCUCCAUCUCCGAUCUCCCCCUUCUCAUCGACGUCAAGAACACCGGAACCGUCGAUGGAUCUCACACCAUUCUCGUCUUCGCAGCCGCUCCGAACCAGAUCUGGUCACCGGAAAAGCACUUGAUCGGAUUCGAAAAGGUUCAUCUGAUAGCCGGAUCUCAGAAGCGAGUUCGAAUGGGAAUCCAUGUUUGCGAUCAUCUCAGCCGAGUCGAUCAGUUUGGGACUCGAAGAAUUCCGACUGGUGAGCAUAAACUCCACAUUGGAGAUCUUACUCA
rnacentral:misc_RNA from 1 species